GGAGAAUUACCUAGAUAUUCAUCUGUUCUAGGCUGGUAAGGGAACAUGUUCCAUACCUGAACAAGGUGAUUACAGCCCGCUAAUAUCGGCUGUCCAUGAUGCUUCAGAUACACCAGCUACUCCAGGAAAGAAGAGCAGGGCUGGUUUGAUAGGUUGUAUUGCAGUCCCCGUCGGAGUAGUGAUCUUGCUAUUAUUAUUUGCAGUUUUAUAUGUGCGGAGAAAAACAUCAGAAAAAGAUGACGAUGAAGGUAAAAGAGCAAUGAGCAUAUUAAUAAGGGUUAAUUCUGCAUGCGGUUCUAGAUCUUCUAGGAUUAGGUCUCCGACCAAAUACUUUCAGUUAUGCUGAGUUGAGAGCUGCAACAGAAGAUUUUAAUCCUUCAAAUAAGCUAGGAGAGGGAGGAUAUGGACCUAUUUAUAAGGGUACACUUUCUGAUGGGAGGGUUGUGGCUGUGAAGCAACUUUCAGUAGCAUCUCACCAAGGGAAGAGUCAAUUUGUAACCGAGAUUGCUACGAUAUCUGCAGUCCAACAUCGCAAUCUAGUGAAAUUGUAUGGAUGCUGCAUUGAAGGAAGCCACCGUAUUUUGGUUUAUGAGUAUCUUGAAAACAAGAGCCUUGAUCAGGCACUUUUUGGAAUGUUUUAUAGAGCCUUUAUCCAAGUUUUUUACACAACCAUUUGUUAUAAUUUUUCUCUGCUGAGGAGUGAAGAUUAAAGAAACCAAAAGAGUAAUUAUCUGAAUCAGAAUAUUCUGCAGUUUGAAGUACUCUGAAGUUACAUCCAAGUUUUUUCCUUGAGAAUAAAUCUUCUUUCACUGCCUUGGUUUUCUGCUGGAAAAUAAAGAAAGAAGAAAACUACUGCUAGUUAGUUUUUAUUAGUUUUUGCUCUGUAUAAGGGAUUAUUCAAUUAAGUAUCCUGAACAAUUAAAAUAUGUUAAACCAGCCCAAUUCUCAUAUCAAAACAUAUUUUCAUUAAUUUUAUUUUUCCUUUUUCUCUUAUAUGUGCAUUGGUUGUUUUUCCAUGUAAUGUUUCAGGAAGAAAUGACUUGCACCUUGACUGGCCUACCCGCUUCAAUAUAUUAUUAGGAACAGCAAGA